rnacentral:rRNA from 1 species
UACAGAGGGUGCGAGCGUUAAUCGGAAUUACUGGGCGUAAAGGGCGCGUAGGCGGAUGUUUAAGUCAUAUGUGAAAGCCCUGGGCUUAACCUAGGAAUGGCGUAUGAUACUGGGCAUCUUGAGUAGGGUAGAGGGAAGUGGAAUUUCCGGUGUAGCGGUGAAAUGCGUAGAUAUCGGAAGGAACACCAGUGGCGAAGGCGGCUUCCUGGACUCAUACUGACGCUGAGGCGCGAGAGCGUGGGGAGCAAACAGGAUUAGAUACCCUGGUAGUCCACGCUGUAAACGAUGAGGACUAGCUGUUGGGGUGGUAAUACACCUGAGUAGCGCAGCUAACGCGAUAAGUUCUCCGCCUGGGGAGUACGGCCGCAAGGUUAAA